AGAAGGAGAGGGCGAAGGAGAAGAUGAUGAGGAGGAGGAGGAGGAAGGCGAGGAGAAUGAAGUAGAUGGUCUUCCUGUGAAACGUCCAGCAGAAAAAGAGGAGGAAACCGAAGCUAAAAAACAGAAGACAGAAAAUGGAGAUUCCACAGAAGUCAAAGAGUCCGCCUAAUCCCCAACCCCCCCCAAAUCCUUUCCAGACAUUUUAUAGCUUAAGUGACAUGGUUGACUUUAAAUUGUAGAGAAACGUGCUUUAUAUCUGUACAUUUUACAGAAUGACUUUUUAUAUACUGUAAACCCACAUGCACUAGAGGACCUUUAACAUCAUCACACAGCCAAGAUAGCAGCUAAGGUUUUUUGUAAAAUGUUAUUUAUUGGUGCUUUGUUUGUACUGGUUGAUUGCUACAAUAAUAAAAAAACAAAAAAAAAAGA